CCUACGGGGGGCAGCAGUGGGGAAUAUUGCACAAUGGGGGAAACCCUGAUGCAGCGACGCCGCGUGAGUGAAGAAGUAUUUCGGUAUGUAAAGCUCUAUCAGCAGGGAAGAAAAUGACGGUACCUGAUUAAGAAGCCCCGGCUAACUACGUGCCAGCAGCCGCGGUAAUACGUAGGGGGCAAGCUUUAUCCGGAUUUACUGGGGGGAAAGGGAGCGUAGACGGCAGCGCAAGUCUGAAGUGAAAUGCCGGGGCUUAACCACGGAACUGCUUUGGACACGGUGCAGCUAGAGUGCAGGAGAGGUAAGCGGAAUUCGUGGUGUAGCGGUGAAAUGCGUAGAUAUUAGGAAGAACACCAAUGGCGAAGGCAGUUUACUGGACUGCAACUGACGCUGAGGCUCGAAAGUGUGGGGAGCAAACAGGAUUAGAUACCCCUGUAGUC
rnacentral:rRNA from 1 species